rnacentral:lncRNA from 1 species
GCCAUACGAAACAUCAAACCAUAAAACUUGAGGACACACCAUAAGUUUACCAGUUAUUUUAGGAUAGAAUCGUUUUGAUUCGCCAUGUUUAUAACAAAAUGAACUAGGUCAAGGAAUGUCAACCUUAAUCAAUGGUUUUAUUGAUUCUUAUAAUAUCAUACAGCUUCGUACUUCUCAUGAAGAAACAAAUGCUCCGUCACCCCGCAAUACGAAUCCUUACCUUAUAACUUCUCAUGCCCUUGACUUGUCAAAAUCUUUCUUCUCAUGUCAGAUUGCUAUCACAUUACCAUACUGCCGCACAAUCUUUCAUGAAGUUUGAGAUGCAGGCAUGCAGCAUGUCAUAGAUGAUAAAAGCACAAGGUCAAUGGUUUGUAAUACUCAUUAAUCCGUAAUAAGAUACGAAAUUUGGUUAUCAUGUUGCUUCAAGUGUAUUAAAAGAAGAGUUCAAAAUCUUUUGAGACAUAUAUGCAGACCGAUAUUAUUGAGUUCAAAGAUGAUUAACAAUGCUUAUUCUAAAUCGCCUAUCUUUUCACUAGAAUGAAGUAAAUAAGACAUAUAGUCACCUGCUUUCGAGCUCGAGAUCUUGCAGCAGAAUCUCUGUUCUUUAUCAUUCUCCUUUGCCGCCUCUCGGCAACCUUCUCCACAGCAGUGCAUUUCCUACCCCUAGAACUUCCAUUGAACACAUAAGGAACCGGCGAGACAGAGGAAGUA